rnacentral:rRNA from 1 species
GACGAACGCUGGCGGCGUGCUUAACACAUGCAAGUCGAACGGUGAUCUUGAGAGCUUGCUCUUGGGUGAUCAGUGGCGAACGGGUGAGUAACACGUGAGUAACCUGCCCCUGACUCUGGAAUAACUUCGGGAAACCGAAGCUAAUACCGGAUAUGACACAGAGCCGCAUGGUUUCUGUGUGGAAAGUUUUUUCGGUUGGGGAUGGACUCGCGGCCUAUCAGCUUGUUGGUGAGGUAAUGGCUCACCAAGGCGACGACGGGUAGCCGGCCUGAGAGGGCGACCGGCCACACUGGGACUGAGACACGGCCCAGACUCCUACGGGAGGCAGCAGUGGGGAAUAUUGCACAAUGGGCGAAAGCCUGAUGCAGCGACGCCGCGUGAGGGAUGAAGGGCCUCGGUUGUAACCGUACGUUUACUACGUAGGUAAGAAGGACGGACGAAGUAGAACGGUACCGUACGACGAAGAAGACGACCGACCGUAACCGUACGUAGACCAGCCAGCCGACGGUACUACGACCGAGAGUAACG